AGAGUUUGAUCCUGGCUCAGGAUGAACGCUAGCGACAGGCUUAACACAUGCAAGUCGAGGGGCAGCACAGGUAGCAAUACCGGGUGGCGACCGGCGCACGGGUGAGUAACGCGUAUGCAACUUACCUAUCAGAGGGGGAUAACCCGGCGAAAGUCGGACUAAUACCGCAUGAAGCAGGGGCCCCGCAUGGGGAUAUUUGCUAAAGAUUCAUCGCUGAUAGAUAGGCAUGCGUUCCAUUAGGCAGUUGGCGGGGUAACGGCCCACCAAACCGACGAUGGAUAGGGGUUCUGAGAGGAAGGUCCCCCACAUUGGUACUGAGACACGGACCAAACUCCUACGGGAGGCAGCAGUGAGGAAUAUUGGUCAAUGGGCGUAAGCCUGAACCAGCCAAGUCGCGUGAGGGAUGAAGGUUCUAUGGAUCGUAAACCUCUUUUAUAAGGGAAUAAAGUGUGGGACGUGUCCUGUUUUGUAUGUACCUUAUGAAUAAGGAUCGGCUAACUCCGUGCCAGCAGCCGCGGUAAUACGGAGGAUCCGAGCGUUAUCCGGAUUUAUUGGGUUUAAAGGGUGCGUAGGCGGCCUUUUAAGUCAGCGGUGAAAGUCUGUGGCUCAACCAUAGAAUUGCCGUUGAAACUGGGGGGCUUGAGUAUGUUUGAGGCAGGCGGAAUGCGUGGUGUAGCGGUGAAAUGCUUAGAUAUCACGCAGAACCCCGAUUGCGAAGGCAGCCUGCCAAGCCAUGACUGACGCUGAUGCACGAAAGCGUGGGGAUCAAACAGGAUUAGAUACCCUGGUAGUCCACGCAGUAAACGAUGAUCACUAGCUGUUUGCGAUACACUGUAAGCGGCACAGCGAAAGCGUUAAGUGAUCCACCUGGGGAGUACGCCGGCAACGGUGAAACUCAAAGGAAUUGACGGGGGCCCGCACAAGCGGAGGAACAUGUGGUUUAAUUCGAUGAUACGCGAGGAACCUUACCCGGGCUUAAAUUGCAGAUGAAUUACGGUGAAAGCCGUAAGCCGCAAGGCAUCUGUGAAGGUGCUGCAUGGUUGUCGUCAGCUCGUGCCGUGAGGUGUCGGCUUAAGUGCCAUAACGAGCGCAACCCUUGCCACUAGUUACUAACAGGUAAAGCUGAGGACUCUGGUGGGACUGCCAGCGUAAGCUGCGAGGAAGGCGGGGAUGACGUCAAAUCAGCACGGCCCUUACAUCCGGGGCGACACACGUGUUACAAUGGCGUGGACAAAGGGAAGCCACCUGGCGACAGGGAGCGAAUCCCCAAACCACGUCUCAGUUCGGAUCGGAGUCUGCAACCCGACUCCGUGAAGCUGGAUUCGCUAGUAAUCGCGCAUCAGCCAUGGCGCGGUGAAUACGUUCCCGGGCCUUGUACACACCGCCCGUCAAGCCAUGGGAGCCGGGGGUACCUGAA
rnacentral:rRNA from 1 species